rnacentral:rRNA from 1 species
UUGAACGCUGGCGGCAGGCCUAACACAUGCAAGUCGAGCGGAUGAAGGGAGCUUGCUCCUGGAUUCAGCGGCGGACGGGUGAGUAAUGCCUAGUAAUCUGCCUGGUAGUGGGGGAUAACGUCCGGAAACGGGCGCUAAUACCGCAUACGUCCUGAGGGAGAAAGUGGGGGAUCUUCGGACCUCACGCUAUCAGAUGAGCCUAGGUCGGAUUAGCUAGUUGGUGGGGUAAAGGCCUACCAAGGCGACGAUCCGUAACUGGUCUGAGAGGAUGAUCAGUCACACUGGAACUGAGACACGGUCCAGACUCCUACGGGAGGCAGCAGUGGGGAAUAUUGGACAAUGGGCGAAAGCCUGAUCCAGCCAUGCCGCGUGUGUGAAGAAGGUCUUCGGAUUGUAAAGCACUUUAAGUUGGGAGGAAGGGCAGUAAGUUAAUACCUUGCUGUUUUGACGUUACCAACAGAAUAAGCACCGGCUAACUUCGUG